UAUACAGCGAAACUGCGAAUGGCUCAUUAUAUAAGUUAUCGUUUAUUUGAUAGUGCCUUACUACUUGGAUAACCGUGGUAAUUCUAGAGCUAAUACAUGCUAAAAACCCCGACUUCGGAAGGGGUGUAUUUAUUAGAUACAAAACCAAUGCCCUUCGGGGCUCUUUGGUGAUUCAUGAUAACUAUACGAAUCGCACGGCCUUGCGCCGGCGAUGGUUCAUUCAAAUUUCUUCCCUAUCAACUUUCGAUGUUUGGGUAUUGGCCAAACAUGGUUGCGACGGGUAACGGAGGGUUAGGGCUCGACCCCGGAGAAGGAGCCUGAGAAACGGCUACUACAUCCAAGGAAGGCAGCAGGCGCGCAAAUUACCCAAUCCCGACUCGGGGAGGUAGUGACAAUAAAUACUGAUACAGGGCCCUUUCGGGCCUUGUAAUUGGAAUGAGUACAAUUUAAAUCCCUUAACGAGGAACAAUUGGAGGGCAAGUCUGGUGCCAGCAGCCGCGGUAAUUCCAGCUCCAAUAGCGUAUAU
rnacentral:rRNA from 1 species